AUUGAACGCUGGCGGCGUGCUUAACACAUGCAAGUCGAUCGGUAACGCGGGGGCAACCCUGGCGACGAGAGGCGGACGGGUGAGGAACGCUUGGGAAUCUGCCUAUCAGCGGGGGACAACCCGGGGAAACUCGGGCUAAUACCGCAUACGCUCUACGGAGGAAAGCCGGGGACCGCAAGGCCUGGCACUGAUAGAUGAGCCAAAGUCGGAUUAGCUAGUUGGCGGGGUAACGGCCCACCAAGGCGACGAUCCGUAACUGGUCUGAGAGGACGAUCAGCCACACUGGGACUGAGACACGGCCCAGACUCCUACGGGAGGCAGCAGUGGGGAAUAUUGGACAAUGGGGGAAACCCUGAUCCAGCGACGCCGCGUGGGUGAAGAAGGCCUGCGGGUUGUAAAGCCCUUUCGGUAGGGACGAAAGCUCUCGACCUAACACGUCGGGAGGUUGACUUAACCUACAAAAGAAGCACCGGCUAACUCUGUGCCAGCAGCCGCGGUAACAC
rnacentral:rRNA from 1 species